rnacentral:piRNA from 1 species
UGGGAUACAAGUUUCAGCAUAUUAUCUGUC